ACAUGGAAUUUUGCAUGGAGGAGUAAAAUCCGUAGAUAUGCAAAGGAACACCAAAAGCGAAGGCAGUGUACUGGGCAGUUUCUGACGCUCAUGGACGAAAGCGUGGGGAGCGAACGGGAUUAGAUACCCCGGUAGUCCACGCCGUAAACGAUGGAUACUAGCUGUUAUCAGUAUCGACCCUGGUAGUAGCGAAGCUAACGCGUUAAGCAUCCCGCCUGUGGAGUACGAGCGCAAGCUUAAAACAUAAAGGAAUUGACGGGGACCCGCACAAGCGGUGGAGCGUGUUGUUUAAUUCGAUGAUAAGCGAAGAACCUUACCAAGGCUUGACAUCCCUGGAAGGUCUCCGAAAGGAGACUGUGCCUUCGGGAAUCAGGUGACAGGUGAUGCAUGGCCGUCGUCAGCUCGUGUCGUGAGAUGUUUGGUUAAGUCCAUCAACGAGCGCAACCCUUGUAAAUAGUUGAAUUUUUCUAUUUAGACUGCCUCGGUAACGGGGAGGAAGGAGGGGAUGAUGUCAGGUCAGUAUUUCCCUUACGCCUUGGGCUACAAACACGCUACAAUGGCCGGUACAAAGGGCUGCCAACCCGCGAGGGGGAGCAAAUCCCAUCAAAGCCGGUCCCAGUUCGGAUAGCAGGCUGAAACUCGCCUGCUUGAAGUCGGAAUCGCUAGUAACGGUGAGUCAGCUAUAUUACCGUGAAUACGUUCCCGGGUCUUGUACACACCGCCCGUCAAACCAUGAAAGUCACCAAUACCUGACGUCUGGGCUAGUCCCGGCCUAAGGUAGGGGGGAUGAUUGGGGUUAAGUCGUAACAAGGUAUCCGUACCGGAAGGUGCGGAUGGAUUACCUCCUUUCU
rnacentral:rRNA from 1 species